UGGCUCAGUUGGUAGAGCAUGGUGCUUUCAACGCCAGGGUUGUGGGUUCGAUUCCCAA
rfam:Salmo salar isolate Sally breed double haploid chromosome ssa02, whole genome shotgun sequence.